AGCAGCCGCGGUAAUUCCAGCUCCAAUAGCGUAUAUUAAAGUUGUUGCAGUUAAAAAGCUCGUAGUUGGAUUUCGGGAUCAAUAUGUUGGUCGUGCCUUGGUACGUACUGGCAUUAUCGAUUCCUACCUUCUGAAGAAUCUCGAUGUCAUUAAUUUGGUGUCUUGGGGAAUCAGGACUGUUACUUUGAAAAAAUUAGAGUGUUUAAAGCAGGCUCGCGCUUGAAUACAUUAGCAUGGAAUAAUGAAAUAGGACGUUUGAUUCUAUUUUGUUGGUUCUAGGAUUGACGUAAUGAUUAAUAGGGAUAGUUGGGGGCAUUAGUAUUCAAUUGUCAGAGGUGAAAUUCUUGGAUUUAUUGAAGACUAACUACUGCGAAAGCAUUUGCCAAGGAUGUUUUCAUUAAUCAAGAACGAAAGUUAGGGGAUCGAAGACGAUCAGAUACCGUCGUAGUCUUAACCAUAAACUAUGCCGACUAGGAAUCAGACGAUGUUAAUUUUUUAAUGACUCGUUUGGCACCUUACG
rnacentral:rRNA from 1 species